GGGCAGUUAGCUCAGCUGGCAGAGCAACGGACUCUUAAUCCGUGGGUCCAGGGUUCGAUCCCUGACUGCCCAUCA
rnacentral:tRNA from 1 species